AUUGAACGCUGGCGGCAGGCUUAACACAUGCAAGUCGAGCGGGGGAAGGUAGCUUGCUACCGGACCUAGCGGCGGACGGGUGAGUAAUGCUUAGGAAUCUGCCUAUUAGUGGGGGACAACAUCUCGAAAGGGAUGCUAAUACCGCAUACGUCCUACGGGAGAAAGCAGGGGAUCUUCGGACCUUGCGCUAAUAGAUGAGCCUAAGUCGGAUUAGCUAGUUGGGGGGGUAAAGGCCUACCAAGGCGACGAUCUGUAGCGGGUCUGAGAGGAUGAUCCGCCACACUGGGACUGAGACACGGCCCAGACUCCUACGGGAGGCAGCAUGGGGGAAUAUUGGACAAGGGGGGGAACCCUGAUCCAGCCAUGCCGCGUGUGUGAAGAAGGCCUUAUGGUUGUAAAGCACUUUAAGCGAGGAGGAGGCUACUCUAGUUAAUACCUAGGGAUAGUGGACGUUACUCGCAGAAUAAGCACCGGCUAACUCUGUGCCAGCCGCCGCGGUAA
rnacentral:rRNA from 1 species